UACAGGGGGUGCAAACGUUGCUCGGAAUUAUUGGGCGUCAAGCGCGCGUAGGCGGCCACUUAAGUCGGAUGUGAAAGCCCCUGGCUCAACUGGGGAAGUGCACCCGAAACUGAAUGGCUUGAGUGCGAAAGAGGGUCGCGGAAUUCCCGGUGUAGAGGUGAAAUUCGUAGAUAUCGGGAGGAACACCGGUGGCGAAGGCGGCGACCUGGGUCGACACUGACGCUGAGGCGCGAAAGCGUGGGGAGCAAACAGG
rnacentral:rRNA from 1 species